UCUUAGGGACAAAGCAGGCAGCCUACCUUUAGAGCUGAUUACAUCUGAGGAAGAGGAGGAGGAGGAGGAAGGAGGCGACCUGAAAGUGACUCCCCGGGUAAACAAGACGCAGCCAUCGUCAAGUUUCACACAGUGAGGAAGGCUUUUAACUUCACUCUGGACAAGCGUCUUCAUUACGAAGCGCGGCGGUUUCCUUUUCAACGGGGUGAGAUCAGCACCGUGGGGAGCAUCCAAACAUCUGAGGCCGGCCUGACCAUAUUGUUUGCCGUGCCUUUUAAUCUGGUUCAUAGUGCAGUUGCUCUGAAGAAAAAUGCCACAGGACUCCAACAUCUCAGAGGAGAGAGGAGAUAAUCAAUUUUCUGACGUUGGGAAUGCCCCCAAAACAUAUGCACGUUUACAGUCUUCCUCCCCGAAAUUGACACCUAACCUGAACUUCCCGAGGCACCAGGGUAGCUUGUUUCAAAACACAAGGGUUCCAGUGAUAGGUUGAAGCUGCUACUUGCACGGCCAUUUCGUAGCUUUGCUGUUGCAACAGCAGGUAGUCAUCACUCCUCUUCAAGUCAUAUUCGUGUUGAACAUUUAUGCCGUGAGGUGAGGUGUUCGUUUCGCAUCUUUGGGACGUGUUGAAAGUCCGAUUGAGUGUAAAGUGCUUAGUUGCCGCCACGUUUUGUGGCCAAAUUGACAGCGUUAUAGACCAGGUACUUCUGGGAUGUGCGUGCGCAUUCGCGGCCGCCCCCACCUUUGUGUUUAUUGCACUGUGCAAUUUAUUUGUGUGUUGUUGAUUAUUGUGCAGUCAAUUUGCAUUGUUUUACAUUGGCAUUGAUAUUAACCCUAACCCCUAAACCCUAACCCGAAUAGGGUUGCGCAUCAAACAUCAAUGGGAUCUGGGAUUAACACUAGGGUUCUCCCGGAACCGUUCAUGUGUUUUUAUUUUAAUUCCAAGUUUCGAUGCCUCGACCGCGGACCGGAAAAAUUAGCUGCCAAAACACCACGAAGAAGAAGCCACAUGAAGUGUUUGUGCAUUGCAACUUGAUUUAUAUCGUUGCCACUGUGCGGCGAUGCUCAAAAGUUUGGCUCAACUUCACAAAGAACAAUGACCAGUCAGCUCACUGCAACAUUUGCAACACAGCUAUAUCACGCAAAGCUGGUUGCACGACCGAUAUGA